GAAAAAGAACCAUCUAUCAUGCUAUGGGAGGCCACCAGGAGAACCCAUCCAUGUACCAGGACUUUGCCACUGGUCCAGUUUGCCCCUCGUUGACAAACUCCACUAUGAGAACUUGGUUAUGGUUGUGGAGAUUAAGAUAUUCAGUCUCUUCCAGAAGUUGCUUGUGAGGUCUUUCUGUCAGUAAAU